rnacentral:rRNA from 1 species
ACGAAGGGUGCAAGCGUUAAUCGGAAUUACUGGGCGUAAAGCGCGCGUAGGUGGUUCGUUAAGUUGGAUGUGAAAUCCCCGGGCUCAACCUGGGAACUGCAUCCAAAACUGGCGAGCUAGAGUAUGGUAGAGGGUGGUGGAAUUUCCUGUGUAGCGGUGAAAUGCGUAGAUAUAGGAAGGAACACCAGUGGCGAAGGCGACCACCUGGACUGAUACUGACACUGAGGUGCGAAAGCGUGAGGAGCAAACAGGA